rnacentral:rRNA from 1 species
UACAGAGGGUGCAAGCGUUGUUCGGAAUUAUUGGGCGUAAAGGGCGCGUAGGCGGUGCCACAAGUCACCUCGUGAAAUCGUCCCGGGCUUAACUCGGAGCCUGCAGGCGAAACUGUGGUGCUGGAGUGUGGGAGAGGGUGCGUGGAAUUCCCGGUGUAGCGGUGAAAUGCGUCAGAGUAUCGGGAGGAACACCUGUGGCGAAAGCGGCGCACUGGACCAUAAACUGAC